CCCAGAACGCCGGGGUUCUUUCUCGAGUUGGUCAUCUGGCUUUUUAAGACGGGGUGGUGGUGGUGGUGGUGCCAGGGAGUGCAUAGGUUGGAUUCGACAGUUCCUGGGCCUGGAAACCUAAAUUAAAGAGUGCUUUGAAUUUAGGACUCCCUGCCACUGCCUUUCUAACAGCAUCCAGAAGAGACAAAUUCCAGGCAGAGGGACUGGUUGGGCCCGUAGCUCAGUGGAAGAGCAUCUGCUUUGCAUGCAGAAGGUCCCGGGUUCCGUCCUUGGCAGCAUCUCCAGUAUGCACUCCCGCACUUUGCUCGAGCGGAAGACGAAUGUGAGAAAUUAGUCUGCUUAAAGCCAGAGAAGGAAAGAAACUGUGUUGCUGUGAAUUAAAAAUGCAAAUAUGUCCCCAAAA